GAUGAACGCUGGUGGCGUGCUUAACACAUGCAAGUCGAACGGUGAACGAGGGAGCUUGCUCCCUCCGGAUCAGUGGCGAACGGGUGAGUAACACGUGAGCAAUCUGCCCUGGACUCUGGGAUAAGCGUUGGAAACGACGUCUAAUACCGGAUACGAGGCGUGGGGGCAUCCCCAACGCCUGGAAAGAACUUCGGUCCAGGAUGAGCUCGCGGCCUAUCAGCUAGUUGGUGAGGUAACGGCUCACCAAGGCGACGACGGGUAGCCGGCCUGAGAGGGUGACCGGCCACACUGGGACUGAGACACGGCCCAGACUCCUACGGGAGGCAGCAGUGGGGAAUAUUGCACAAUGGGCGCAAGCCUGAUGCAGCAACGCCGCGUGAGGGACGACGGCCUUCGGGUUGUAAACCUCUUUCAGCAGGGACGAAGCGAAAGUGACGGUACCUGCAGAAGAAGCACCGGCCAACUACGUGCCAGCAGCCGCCGUAAGAC
rnacentral:rRNA from 1 species